rfam:Picea glauca, whole genome shotgun sequence.
UUCUUACAACAUAAUGUUAAUGCAUCAUAUUCCAAGAACUUCGUAGUUAAUCGCACUCAAACUAGAGUAGUACUGGGAUGGGUGACCACUCGAGAAGUCCUAGUUUUUUACAUG